rnacentral:tRNA from 1 species
AGGGGUUUAGUUCAAUGGCAGAAUAAAAGUCUCCAAAACUUCUGAUACGGGUUCGAUUCCUGUAACCCCUGCCA